AGUUGAUGGCUGUUGCCUCGUCUGUCAUUGAGCACCACUGAGAAGAGUCUGGCUCCCUCUUCUUUACUCCCUCCCAUCAGAAUAGUUUCCAGGAUUAUUUGCAUCGUCACCCUCCCAGGAAUCAAGCCCUCAGGAACCUCUCCCUAUUGUCAUGACCUUUCAAAGAUAAUCAAGAGUGGCCUCUCAAUAACAGCAGCCAGCUCCCUCAGCACUUGUGGCUGCAUCCCAUCAGAUACCAUGGACUUGCAUGCUUAUGUCCAGUUUGUUUCCGUGAUCCCAUACCUGA